rnacentral:rRNA from 1 species
AGCGAACGCUGGCGGCAGGCCUAACACAUGCAAGUAGAGUGGCGGACGGGUGAGUAACACGUGGGAACGUGCCUUUAGGUUCGGAAUAACUCAGGGAAAGUUGUGCUAAUACCGAAUGCCUUUAGAGCGGCCAGCGUCUGAUUAGCUAGUUGGUGAGGUAAAGGCUCACCAAGGCGACGAUAAGUAGCUGGUCUGGGAGGAUGAUCAGCAACAUUGGAACUGAGACACGGGCCAGACUCCUACGGGAGGCAGCAGUGGUGAAUAUUGCACAAUUGGCUCAAGCCUGAUGCAGCCAUGCCGCGUGUAUUAAUAAGGCCUUCGGGUUGUAAAGUACUUUCAGCUGGGAGGCGUUACCCGCAGAAGAAGCACCGGCUAACUCCGUGCCAGCAGCCGCGGUAAUUC